AUUGAACGCUGGCGGCAUGCCUUACACAUGCAAGUCGAACGGUAACAGGUCUUCGGAUGCUGACGAGUGGCGAACGGGUGAGUAAUACAUCGGAACGUGCCUAGUAGUGGGGGAUAACUACUCGAAAGAGUGGCUAUUACCGCAUGAGAUCUACGGAUGAAAGCAGGGGAUCGCAAGACCUUGUGCUACUAGCGCGGCCGAUGGCAAAUUAGGUAUUUGGUGGGAUAAAAGCUUACCAAGCCGACGAUCUGUAGCUGGUCUGAGAGGACGAUCAGCCACACUGGGACUGAGACACGGCCCAGACUCCUACGGGAGGCAGCAGUGGGGAAUUUUGGACAAUGGGCGAAAGCCUGAUCCAGCAAUGCCGCGUGCAGGAUGAAGGCCUUCGGGUUGUAAACUGCUUUUGUACGGAACGAAAAGCCCCGGGUUAAUACCCUGGGGUCAUGACGGUACCGUAAGAAUAAGCACCGGCUAACUACGUGCCAGCCGCCGCGGUAA
rnacentral:rRNA from 1 species